rnacentral:lncRNA from 1 species
AUCUUUGAAGACCAAGAGAGGCAAGGUUGCAAUUUGCUCUUCUUCCGUCGAUCACAGGAGUAGCGUCCACACAAGCCUUGCUCGCCGCAUCUGCCUCCUUGAACGUCACCUGAUCACAGCACUUUACUAAUUAGUUCCCCUUUGAGGUAUAUAUGUAUAACCCUAAAUAUACCACUCUAUAUAUAUCUAGAAACAAUGAGUUAUUGUAUAUACGAAUCCGUAGCCCUUAGAUCUGCCUGAAGCCUUGUCGGUGAUGACUACAGCUUCCAAAAUCUCCCCAAACUGCUCGAAGUGCUUCUUCAACGUAUCCUUGUGCGUCUCCCAAGCUAAUCCUCCGACAAACACCUUUGUGUACGUCGUGUCUCCCAACCCUAUUCCUCCCG